GAGGGAAGGUCCGAUCCUGGGCUGUGGCCCGGCGCCCUGUGCUCCCAGGCCUGCGCUGUUGGAUUCGUGCUCCCGGCCGCGGCGCAGUCCCCU
rnacentral:pre_miRNA from 1 species